UACGAAGGGUGCAAACGUUGCUCGGAAUUAUUGGGCGUAAAGCGCACGUAGGCGGCCACCGCGAGUCGACUGUGAAAUCUCCGGGCUUAACUCGGAAAGGUCAGCCGAUACUGCGGGGCUAGAGUGCAGAAGGGGCAACUGGAAUUCUCGGUGUAGCGGUGAAAUGCGUAGAUAUCGAGAGGAACACCUGCGGCGAAGGCGGGUUGCUGGGCUGACACUGACGCUGAUGUGCGAAAGCUAGGGGAGCGAACGGG
rnacentral:rRNA from 1 species